rnacentral:snoRNA from 10 species
CCCUAUAUUCGAAAGUUAUCCUGGUCAUUGACAGUGCAGGGAGAGAAACUGCUGAAAGCAUUCCCCCUUGUUUGGAGGGUCCACUCCUGUCCCUUCUAAACUCUGGAGUUUUCCACA